GAUGAAGAACGCAGCGAAAUGCGAUAAGUAGUGUGAAUUGCAGAAUUCAGUGAAUCAUCGAAUCUUUGAACGCACAUUGCGCCCCAUGGUAUUCCGUGGGGCAUGCCUGUUCGAGCGUCAUUUACCCCCUCAAGCUCCGCUUGGUGUUGGGCGUCUGUCCCGCUUCGCGCGCGGACUCGCCCCAAAGGUAUUGGCAGCGGUCGUGCCAGCUUCUCGCGCAGCACAUUGCGCUUCUCGAGGCACCGGUGGGCCCGCGUCCAUCAAGCUCACUCCCCCAGUUUGACCUCGGAUCAGGUAGGGAUACCCGCUGAACUUAAGCAUAUCAAUAAGCGGAGGA
rnacentral:misc_RNA from 1 species